CGAGUUGAUUGGACGGUUACACAAACGUGAGGAAAGUCCGAGCAUCAUAGAGCAGAAUGGCAGAGAAAUCCUGCUGAAGGCGACUUCAAGGAAAGUGCAACAGAAAAUAACCGCAGUUUUUACUGUAAGGGUGAAAAGGUGUGUUAAGAGCGCACCAGCAGUUUGGCGACAAAAUUGGCUGUGUAAACCCCAUUCGAUGCAAGAAAUAAGAUAAUGAGUUGCUCGCUCUUCUUAUUAAUUCGCUAGAGUUGUUUGGUGACAAAUGACCAAGAUAGAUGACCGUUUAAACAGAACUCGGCUUAUAGAUCAACUCACAAA
rnacentral:RNase_P_RNA from 1 species